UGAGUAACCUGCCCUUAACUCUGGGAUAAGCCUGGGAAACUGGGUCUAAUACCGGAUAUGACUCCUCAUCGCAUGGUGGGGGGUGGAAAGCUUUAUUGUGGUUUUGGAUGUACUCGCGGCCUAUCAGCUUGUUGGUGAGGUAAUGGCUCACCAAGGCGACGACGGGUAGCCGGCCUGAGAGGGUGACCGGCCACACUGGGACUGAGACACGGCCCAGACUCCUACGGGAGCAG
rnacentral:rRNA from 1 species